GUACAAUAAGCAAAAUAAGGGCGUAUGGGGGAUGCCUAGGCUCUCAGAGGCGAUGAAGGGCGUGAUAAGCUGCGAAAAGCUACGGGGAUCGGCACACACGACUUGAUCCGUAGAUACCCGAAUGGGGCAACCCACUAUGUUGAAGACAUAGUACACCGAUAGGUGGGCAAACCCGCUGAACUGAAACAUCUAAGUAGGCGGAGGAGAAGAAAACAAAAGUGAUUCCGUAAGUAGUGGCGAGCGAACGCGGAUUAGCCCAAACCAAUGAUGUUACGGCAUUGUUGGGGUUGUAGGACCACGACAUUUUAUGCACAAGGAACUAGAAUCUACUGGAAAGUAGAACCAAAGAGGGUGAUAGUCCUGUAUAGGUAACAAGUGUAAUGAAUAGUGGUAUCCUGAGUAGGGCGGGGCACGUGAAACCCUGUCUGAAUUUGGCGGGACCAUCCGCUAAGGCUAAAUACUCCUGAGAGACCGAUAGUGAACCAGUACCGUGAGGGAAAGGUGAAAAGAACCGUGAAUAACGGAGUGAAAUAGAUCCUGAAACCAUACGCUUACAAGCGGUCGGAGCCCUUUCGUGGGGUGACGGCGUGCCUUUUGCAUAAUGAGCCUACGAGUUAACGUUGCUGGCAAGGAUAAGUGGUUAAGCCACGGAUCCGUAGCGAAAGCGAGUCUGAAUAGGGCGCUUUAGUCAGUAGUGUUAGACGCGAAACCGUGUGAUCUACCCAUGGGCAGGAUGAAGCUGUGGUAACACACAGUGGAGGUCCGAACCGGUUGACGUUGAAAAGUCUUCGGAUGACCUGUGGGUAGGGGUGAAAGGCCAAUCAAACUCGGAAAUAGCUCGUACUCCCCGAAAUGCAUUUAGGUGCAGCGUUGGUCAUAAAGUUAUAUAGAGGUAGAGCUACUGAUUGGAUGCGGGGGCUUCACCGCCUACCAAUUCCUGACAAACUCCGAAUGCUAUAUAAUGUUUACCAGCAGUGAGGGCUUGGGUGCUAAGGUCCAAGUCCGAGAGGGAAAGAACCCAGACCAUCAGCUAAGGUCCCCAAAUAUAUGUUAAGUUGAAAGAACGAGGUUUGUCUGCCCAGACAGCUAGGAUGUUGGCUUGGAAGCAGCCAUUCAUUUAAAGAGUGCGUAACAGCUCACUAGUCGAGCGGACGAGCAUGGAUAAUAAUCGGGCAUAAACAUAUUACCGAAGCUAUGGAUUUGAUAUUUAUUUAUCAAGUGGUAGGGGAGCAUUCUCACAGGGUAGAAGGUGUGUCGUAAGGCAUGCUGGACCGGUGAGAAAAGAAAAUGUAGGCAUAAGUAACGAUAAUGCGGGCGAGAAACCCGCACACCGAAAGACUAAGGUUUCCACAGCUAUGCUAAUCAGCUGUGGGUUAGUCGGGACCUAAGGCGAACCCGAAAGGGACAGUCGAUGGACAACGGGUUAAUAUUCCCGUACUACUUAUUACUGUGAUGGGGUGACGGAGUGAUGAAAGUGUCGCGAACUGACGGAAUAGUUCGUUGAAGGUUGUAGCUAUAUUCUAGAUAGGCAAAUCCGUUUAGAAUGGCAAAGACCGAUAGUACUCGGAGGCUUCGGCCAAAGAGAUAGUACACCUAAGGGCUUCCAAGAAAAACCUCUAAACUUCAGGUAAUGAGUACCCGUACCGUAAACCGACACAGGUAGUCGAGGAGAGAAUCCUAAGGUGCUCGAGAGAUUCAUGGCUAAGGAAUUAGGCAAAAUAGACCCGUAACUUCGGGAGAAGGGUCGCCACGCUUCUGGCGUGGCCGCAGUGAAGAGGUCCAGGCGACUGUUUAUCAAAAACACAGGGCUCUGCAAAAUCGUAAGAUGAAGUAUAGGGCCUGACACCUGCCCGGUGCUGGAAGGUUAAGUGGAGAUGUUAUGGGUAACCAGAAGCAUUGAAAUGAAGCCCCAGUAAACGGCGGCCGUAACUAUAACGGUCCUAAGGUAGCGAAAUUCCUUGUCGGGUAAGUUCCGACCUGCACGAAUGG
rnacentral:rRNA from 2 species